GGAUGUGAGGGCUAUCUGGCUGCGACAUCUGUCACCCCAUUGAUCGCCAGGGUUGAUUCGGCUGAUCUGGCUGGCUAGGCGGGUGUCCCCUUCCUCCCUCACCGCUCCAUGUGCUUCCCUCCCGAAGCUGCGCGCUCGGUCGAAGAGGACGACCUUCCCCGAUAGAGGAGGACCGUUCUUCGGUCAAGGGUAUACGAGUAGCUGCUCUCCCCUGCUAGAACCUCCAAACAAGCUCUCAAGGUCCAAAAUAGGGCUGGGGAUGUGGCUCAGUGGUUGAGUGCCCCUGAGUUCAAUCCUC
rnacentral:snRNA from 1 species